AGAGUUUGAUCAUGGCUCAGGACGAACGCUGGCGGCGUGCUUAACACAUGCAAGUCGAACGGAAAGGCCCUGCUUUUGUGGGGUGCUCGAGUGGCGAACGGGUGAGUAACACGUGAGUAACCUGCCCUUGACUUUGGGAUAACUUCAGGAAACUGGGGCUAAUACCGGAUAGGAGCUCCUGCUGCAUGGUGGGGGUUGGAAAGUUUCGGCGGUUGGGGAUGGACUCGCGGCUUAUCAGCUUGUUGGUGGGGUAGUGGCUUACCAAGGCUUUGACGGGUAGCCGGCCUGAGAGGGUGACCGGCCACAUUGGGACUGAGAUACGGCCCAGACUCCUACGGGAGGCAGCAGUGGGGAAUAUUGCACAAUGGGCGGAAGCCUGAUGCAGCAACGCCGCGUGCGGGAUGACGGCCUUCGGGUUGUAAACCGCUUUCGCCUGUGACGAAGCGUGAGUGACGGUAAUGGGUAAAGAAGCACCGGCUAACUACGUGCCAGCAGCCGCGGUAAU
rnacentral:rRNA from 1 species